UAAAAAAGAGGAGAAGACGGGCCCCUAAUAAUCGGCAGAGCGAGCCAAGAAAGAGAACAGGGAUUUGAUCGCCUACUAAAAUGUCGGGCCGAUGAAGGAAAAAAAGAGCCGGAAUGGGAGUGAGAUAGCUAUCCGAUAGAAAUGCUAGACGUCGAGUGAGACGGGGGGUUGCAAUACUGAGUUCAUGGUUGAACAGACUGACUGCCAGGCUCGCAUUCCCCU
rnacentral:lncRNA from 1 species